GUGCUGGCUUGGGCAGCACCCACCCUAAAAUUGGAAGGAGACACAGAUUAGCAUGGGCCCUGUGCAAGGAUGACACACAAAUUCGUGAAGCGUUCCAGAUUUUU
ensembl:snRNA U6 U6 spliceosomal RNA